rnacentral:misc_RNA from 1 species
GAUGAAGAACGUAGCGAAAUGCGAUAAGUAGUGUGAAUUGCAGAAUUCAGUGAAUCAUCGAAUCUUUGAACGCACAUUGCGCCCCUUGGUAUCCCGAGGGGCAUGCCUGUUCGAGCGUCAUUUCACCACUCAAGCCUGGCUUGGUGUUGGGCGACGUCCCCUUUGGGGACGCGCCUCGAAACGCUCGGCGGCGUGGCACCGGCUUUAAGCGUAGCAGAAUCUUUCGCUUUGGAAGUCGGGGCCCCGUCUGCCGGAAGACCUACUCGCAAGGUUGACCUCGGAUCAGGCAGGGGUACCCGCUGAACUUAAGCAUAUCAAUAAGCGGAGGA